UACGGGGGGGGUAAGCGUUGUUCGGAAUUACUGGGCGUAAAGGGCUCGUAGGCGGCCAACUAAGUCGGACGUGAAAUCCCUCAGCUUAACUGGGGAACUGCGUCCGGUACUGGAUGGCUUGGAUUUGGGAGAGGGAUGCGGAAUUCCAGGUGUAGCGGUGAAAUGCGUAGAUAUCUGGAGGAACACCGGUGGCGAAGGCGGCAUCCUGGACCAAUAUUGACGCUGAGGAGCGAAAGCCAGGGGAGCAAACGGG
rnacentral:rRNA from 1 species